UACGUAGGCAGCGAGCGUUGUCCGGAAUUAUUGGGCGUAAAGAGCUCGUAGGCGGUUUGUCGCGUCGAAUGUGAAAACCCGGGGCUCAACCCCGGGCCUGCAUUCGAUACGGGCAGACUAGAGUUCGGUAGGGGAGUCUGGAAUUCCUGGUGUAGCGGUGAAAUGCGCAGAUAUCAGGAGGAACACCGGUGGCGAAGGCGGGACUCUGGGCCGAUACUGACGCUGAGGAGCGAAAGCGUGGGGAGCAAACAGG
rnacentral:rRNA from 1 species